rnacentral:lncRNA from 1 species
CACGUCUUCCGUCUCGGAAUCUCUCCUCCGUUAUUUCGUUGUGUGCUGAUCCAAGUCAAACGGUCCCGUCCCGUCUUCCUCCCGUCCCGCGAGCUCUCGACUCUCUCCCUCUUCCCGGGGGGCCGCAGCCAUGGUGGAGAGGCGGCCGCGGAGGAAGCCGCUGGUGCUCGCGUCGACGCAGGCGCUCCUCGACUCGCUCCCGGGGGAGCNNN